ensembl:lncRNA
UACUCAUGUCUCUGAGUCUCUGCUGAAGAGAGCAAAUGCCUCCGUCUCUUUCUCACCCACUUAUGCUCAUGUGUCCUGCCCUGGAGAUGAAAAUAUCAGCGUCACCAUGCAUGGAGCAACCAGCCUGCCCCCGCUGAGAGAUGGAGGUACCCCACUGCCAUUUGCUAUUCUGUCCUGCUACAUGGUAAGGGCGAUGGUGUCUUAGCUGAGAGUGAC